AGUCGAGCGGAGUUUUGAAAGCUUGCUUUUCAAAACUUAGCGGCGGACGGGUGAGUAACACGUGGGCAACCUGCCCUUGAGACGGGGAUAACUCCGGGAAACCGGAGCUAAUACCGGAUAACACAUAUCUUCGCAUGAGGAUAUGUUAGAAGGUGGCUUUUAGCUACCACUCAAGGAUGGGCCCGCGGCGCAUUAGCUAGUUGGUGAGGUAACGGCUCACCAAGGCGACGAUGCGUAGCCGACCUGAGAGGGUGAUCGGCCACACUGGGACUGAGACACGGCCCAGACUCCUACGGGAGGCAGCAGUAGGGAAUCUUCCGCAAUGGACGAAAGUCUGACGGAGCAACGCCGCGUGAGUGAUGAAGGUUUUCGGAUCGUAAAGCUCUGUUGUUAGGGAAGAACAAGUAUCUGUUGAAUAAGCAGGUACCUUGACGGUACCUAACCAGAAAGCCACGGCUAACUACGUGCCAGCAGCCGCGGUAAUACGUAGGUGGCAAGCGUUGUCCGGAAUUAUUGGGCGUAAAGCGCGCGCAGGCGGUUCCUUAAGUCUGAUGUGAAAGCCCACGGCUCAACCGUGGAGGGUCAUUGGAAACUGGGGAACUUGAGUGCAGAAGAGGAGAGCGGAAUUCCACGUGUAGCGGUGAAAUGCGUAGAGAUGUGGAGGAACACCAGUGGCGAAGGCGGCUCUCUGGUCUGUAACUGACGCUGAGGCGCGAAAGCGUGGGGAGCGAACAGGAUUAGAUACCCUGG
rnacentral:rRNA from 1 species